rnacentral:rRNA from 1 species
CUACGGGGCGCUGCAGUGGGGAAUAUUGGACAAUGGGCGCAAGCCUGAUCCAGCCAUGCCGCGUGUGUGAAGAAGGCUCUAGGGUUGUAAAGCACUUUAAGCGGGGAGGAAGUUGCGCGGGUGAAUAAUUUGUGUAAUUGACGUUACCCGCAGAAUAAGCACCGGCUAACUCCGUGCCAGCAGCCGCGGUAAUACGGAGGGUGCAAGCGUUAAUCGGAAUUACUGGGCGUAAAGCGCACGUAGGCGGUUUGAUAAGUGGGAUGUGAAAGCCCUGGGCUUAACCUAGGAAUUGCAUCCCGAACUGUCAGGCUAGAGUAUAGUAGAGGGAGGUAGAAUUUCCGGUGUAGCGGUGAAAUGCGUAGAGAUCGGAAGGAAUACCAGUGGCGAAGGCGGCCUCCUGGACUAAUACUGACGCUGAGGUGCGAAAGCAUGGGGAUCAAACAGGAUUAGAUACCCCGGUAGUC